rnacentral:rRNA from 1 species
UGCGUAGGCGGCGACAAAAGUUAGAAGUGAAAGCCCAGGGCUCAACCUUGGAAUUGCUUUUAAAACUAUGUUGCUCGAAUCUCGGAGAGGAUAGCGGAAUUGUCAGUGUAGCAGUGAAAUGCGUAGAUAUUGACAGGAACACCAGUGGCGUAAGCGGCUAUCUGGACGAGUAUUGACGCUGAGGCACGAAAGCGUGGGGAUCAAACAGGAUUAGAUACCCUGGUAGUCCACGCCGUAAACGAUGUGUGUUUGUCGCUGGGAGGUUUACCUUUCGGUGACGGAGCUAACGCGUUAAGCACACCGCCUGGGAAGUACGGUCGCGAGAUUAAA